UCUCUUCCGCCUCUCUUCACAAAGAAACCCUCUUCUUCUUCCUCCUUUUACUUCUUCUUCUUUGUUCUUCUUACCACUUGAAGCCAUCGUUUCAAUCCUUCUUCUUUGUUCUUCUUGUACCACAAAUGGAUAUUGAGCAGACUCACGUCCAACCCGAUUACAUAGCCGAAGAAUUGGCACCCAAGAUCUGUAGUUUGCGCCUGUGGACUAUAGCAUGACCUUGUCCUUCCAGUCCAACAAUUGGAUCUCAUCUCGAAGAUAGAAAGGGAAGUUUACCGUCGCCUUUGCUGUCAUCGUGGUUCGCAUCGCCGUCGCCGUUCCUGCCGCUGGCUCACCAUGAGCAAUGUAUCGAAAACCCUAAUUGUUAAUGUGUUGGGCCUGUCAUUUUGUUUAUUGUAAAAUUUUGUUAAUUGGGUUUCUAACCAGUUUGUAAUUAGAUUUGUUUUUUUUGAGCCCAUUAACUUUAUUUUGGUGUAUUUCGGUUAAUAUUAACCGAAAUAGAAAAUAUAUCGGUUCAAUUCGGAAUU